AGAGUAAUUGCUGGAUCAUAUGGUAAGACUUUGCUUCAUUUUGUAAGAACUUGCCAAACUGUCUUCCAAAGUUGUUGUACCAUUUUGCAUUCCCACCAGAAAU
rnacentral:pre_miRNA from 1 species